UCCCUGGUGGCUCAGACAGUAAAGCAUCUGCCUGCAAUGCAGGAGACCCAGGUUCGAAUCCUGGGUCGGGAA
rnacentral:tRNA from 1 species